rnacentral:rRNA from 1 species
UAAGGAAUAUUGGUCAAUGGACGAAAGUCUGAACCAGCCAUGCCGCGUGGAGGAUGAAGGCCCUCUGGGUUGUAAACUUCUUUUAUUUGGGACGAAACACUUUCUUUCUAGAGAGCUUGACGGUACCAGAUGAAUAAGCACCGGCUAACUCCGUGCCAGCAGCCGCGGUAAUACGGAGGGUGCAAGCGUUAUCCGGAUUCACUGGGUUUAAAGGGUGCGUAGGCGGACAUGUAAGUCCGUGGUGAAAUCUCCGAGCUUAACUCGGAAACUGCCAUGGAUACUAUAUGUCUUGAAUGUUGUGGAGGUUAGCGGAAUAUGUCAUGUAGCGGUGAAAUGCAUAGAUAUGACAUAGAACACCAAUUGCGAAGGCAGCUGGCUACACAAAUAUUGACGCUGAGGCACGAAAGCGUGGGGAUCAAACAGGAUUAGAUACCCUGGUAGUCCACGCCCUAAACGAUGAUUACUCGACAUACGCGAUACACAGUGUGUGUCUGAGCGAAAGCAUUAAGUAAUCCACCUGGGAAGUACGACCGCAAGGUUGA